UGGGGGAUAUUGCACAAUGGGCGAAAGCCUGAUGCAGCGACGCCGCGUGGGGGAUGAAGGCUUUCGGGUUGUAAACCUCUUUCGCUAUCGAACAAGGCCCGCUUAGGGUGGGUUGAGGGUAGGUGGAGAAGAAGCGCCGGCUAACUACGUGCCAGCAGCCGCGGUAAUACGUAGGGCGCGAGCGUUGUCCGGAAUUAUUGGGCGUAAAGGGCUUGUAGGCGGCUUGUUGCGCCUGCUGUGAAAACGCUGGGCUUAACUUCGCGCGUGCAGUGGGUACGGGCAGGCUUGAGUGUGGUAGGGGUGACUGGAAUUCCAGGUGUAGCGGUGGAAUGCGCAGAUAUCUGGAGGAACACCGAUGGCGAAGGCAGGUCACUGGGCCAUUACUGACGCUGAGGAGCGAAAGCAUGGGUAGCGAACAGG
rnacentral:rRNA from 1 species